UACGUAGGUGACCAGCGUUGUCCGGAUUUACUGGGCGUAAAGAGCGCGCAGGCGGUCGUUCAAGUCGAGUGUGAAAGCCCCCGGCUCAACUGGGGAGGGUCAUUCGAUACUGAUCGACUCGAAGGCAGGAGAGGGAAGCGGAAUUCCCGGUGUAGUGGUGAAAUUCGUAGAUAUCGGGAGGAACAUCAGUGGCGAAGGCGGCGACCUGGGCCAAUAUUGACGCUGAGGUGCGAAAGCGUGGGGAGCAAACAGG
rnacentral:rRNA from 1 species